GUGUAUGAAAGGAGAGAACGUUUGCACUCCCCUUGAGGAGGAUGAAAGAAGCCCUUGGGCCUGACAACAUGCAUGCCGCGCUAAGGCAUUGCCACCUACUUUGUGGCAUCUAACCAUCAUUUUUA
ensembl:snRNA